rnacentral:tRNA from 2 species
GCCAGGGUAGCCAAGGUGGUCAAGGCGCGUGUCUGAAAAACAUGAGAUUUCAGUUCGACUCUGAACCCUGGCA